rnacentral:rRNA from 1 species
UACGUAGGGUGCAAGCGUUAAUCGGAAUUACUGGGCGUAAAGCGUGCGCAGGCGGUGAUGUAAGACAGUUGUGAAAUCCCCGGGCUCAACCUGGGAACUGCAUCUGUGACUGCAUCGCUGGAGUACGGUAGAGGGGGAUGGAAUUCCGCGUGUAGCAGUGAAAUGCGUAGAUAUGCGGAGGAACACCGAUGGCGAAGGCAAUCCCCUGGGCCUGUACUGACGCUCAUGCACGAAAGCGUGGGGAGCAAACAGG